rnacentral:lncRNA from 1 species
AUUUCCUCAUGCGUCCAGUAGGGGGAGGCUGUAUAUUAGUAUAUGAGCCUAGUCAUCAAAACAGCAGACCAUAUCUGUAUGAUAGCGGCAGACAUUUUUUUGAAGCGAUACGAAAUGAGCUUGCGUGACAUGGCUUCUUCUGUAUGCCCUUUACACUGUGCUGAACACUCCAUUCAAUUUCACUUCGCUUGA